rnacentral:antisense_RNA from 1 species
CUCUGUGACUGGCUUGCUUGAUAGUUAGGGUCUGAUUGCUGCCUGAGACACCAUAUCGGUACUCCUCAGAGUUGGUGAUCACAGGAUCUGGUUUGCCACUGAAAGGAAUCUUGAUGCUGACCACUUCACCUCGGAGAGCAUGAACUGCUCCCAUGCCUUCAAGAGUUUUAGUGGGUAACCAGGAUGGAACUGUGGUGUUGCUUGCAGGAGAAGCUUACUACUGGUUUCUACUUCUCCAACCUCAUUGGUGGCUAUGCAGGUUCAUUGAAGUGGCAUACAAUUGUUGACCUUUCAAAUCUUGUUGGGAAAUAUUUUUUAAAAAACAAACCAUUGCAUUAGAGGGAAUUGCUCAAGGAAAGUGCUCAGUUCACUGCAUCUAACAUCUCCUGCUGAGGCACUGUCUCCAGACUGUCUAUAUUCAACCCAGUAUCCAAGAAUUUCUUUGCCACCAUCACAUUCAGGUUUCUCCCACUGUAGAGUGACACUAUCUUUGGAUAUUGAAAGAAUCUCAAGUUCUCCUGGUUGGCUUGGUUUAUCUGAAAUAUUUUAAAAUAAUGAAAAGGGAAUCAGCUUUACUGGUGAAAUAAAAGGACCAAACAU